rnacentral:rRNA from 1 species
AGUUCUGGGCCGCACGCGCGCUACACUGACGGAGCCAGCGAAGUACUUCCUUGUCCGAAAGGUCCGGGUAAUCUUGUUAAACUCCGUCGUGCUGGGGAUAGAGCAUUGCAAUUAUUGCUCUUCAACGAGGAAUCCCUAGUAAGCGCAAGUCAUCAGCUUGCGUUGAUUACGUCCCUGCCCUUUGUACACACCGCCCGUCGCUACUACCGAUUGAAUGGCUCAGUGAGGCGUUCGGACUGGCCCAGAGAGGUGGGCAACUACCACUCAGGGCCGGAAAGUUCUCCAAACUCGGUCAUUUAGAGGAAGUAAAAGUCGUAACAAGGUCUCCGUUGGUGAACCAGCGGAGGGAUCAUUACCGAGUUUACAACUCCCAAACCCCUGUGAACAUACCUUAACGUUGCCUCGGCGGAUCAGCCCGCUCCCGGUAAAACGGGACGGCCCGCCAGAGGACCCAAACCCUACUGUUUUUAGUGUAUCUUCUGAGUAACAAAAACAAAUAAAUCAAAACUUUCAACAACGGAUCUCUUGGUUCUGGCAUCGAUGAAGAACGCAGCAAAAUGCGAUAAGUAAUGUGAAUUGCAGAAUUCAGUGAAUCAUCGAAUCUUUGAACGCACAUUGCGCCCGCCAGUAUUCUGGCGGGCAUGCCUGUUCGAGCGUCAUUUCAACCCUCAAGCCCCCGGGUUUGGUGUUGGGGAUCGGCGAGUCUCUAGGGACGAGCCGGCCCCGAAAUCUAAUGGCGGUCUCGCUGCAGCCUCCAUUGCGUAGUAGCUAACACCUCGCAACUGGAACGCGGCGCGGCCAAACCGUUAAACCCCCACUUCUGAAUGUUGACCUCGGAUCAGGUAGGAAUACCCCCCUGAACUUAAGCAUAUCAAUAAGCGGAGGAAAAAAAACCAACAGGGGAUUGCCCUAAUAACGGCGAGUGAACGGGCCACCCCCCUCAUUGAAAUUGGGUUUCCGCCCAAUUGAAUUUUAAAGGAGCUUUUGAGCGGG